AACGCACAUUGCGCCCCUUGGUAUUCCAUGGGGCAUGCCUGUUCGAGCGUCAUUUGUACCUUCAAGCUCUGCUUGGUGUUGGGUGUUUGUCCCGCCUUUGUGCGUGAACUCGCCUUAAAGCAAUUGGCAGCCGACGUAUUGUUUCGGAGCGCAGCACAAAUUGCGCUUUGUAGCUAUUACGACAGCAUCCAUCAAGCCUUUUUUCACGCUUGACCUCGGAUCAGGUAGGGAUACCCGCUGAACUUAA
rnacentral:misc_RNA from 1 species